UUCUUAUUAGCUCAAUGGUAGAGCAGAAUAUUCCUAAUAUUUAGAUCUAAGUUCAAGUCUUAGAUAAGAAACCA
rnacentral:tRNA from 1 species